GCCCCGCUGCCACCAGAUGGCGCUAUUAUUCUUUACAUAUUUUGUCACCCACAGAGCAGCAUACCUAGGAAACCUUUCAGGCUUAUCUCUGCGCCUUCAGUUCCCCCAGGAGAAGUCUUCCCUCACACCCCAUCCACCCCCAUGAAACAACACCUCUGAUAAGGGCGUCUAUGUGAUUUAUGCACUUGCGUAGGAGAGGAGACGGAGUGAUUCCAACGGCACUUGACACACAGCGGGGCAAGGUGGUCACUGACCUGGAUGACUUUCAAGCAGAAGGUACAGCACCUUAAGCAAAGCAAACAGUGUUUGGUUCAUAAUAAGUCAACAUCUUCAAGCAUGAAAUGGACCAUGUUUGUUUCCCCAACAAAAGCCAUGCAGUGAGAAGGUGUCUGCAUUUUACAGCCUAUAGCCUAGCGAGAAUUCCGCAAGAAGUGUUUGACUAGCAGUACCCCAAAAACAGGUAAUCUAUCCACCAUCUCAGUGAAUAACAGGACGGAUCAUAAUAAAAAUGAACAAUUGUCCCCAAAAAACUACUUUCCCAAUGUUGGCACUUUCAAAUGUAAUGGUCUGAGGGACAUCAAGUAAAAUAAAGAUGGUUGACAAAAACAUUAA